AUGCAAGUCGAGGGGUAUAGUAGCAAUACUAGAGACCGGCGCACGGGUGCGUAACGCGUAUGCAAUCUACCUUAUACAGAGGGAUAGCCCAGAGAAAUUUGGAUUAAUACCUCAUAGCAUAGCAACUUCGCAUGAAGUCACUAUUAAAGUUCCAACGGUAUAAGAUGAGCAUGCGUCCUAUUAGCUAGAUGGUAAGGUAACGGCUUACCAUGGCUACGAUAGGUAGGGGUCCUGAGAGGGAGAUCCCCCACACUGGUACUGAGACACGGACCAGACUCCUACGGGAGGCAGCAGUGAGGAAUAUUGGACAAUGGGCGCAAGCCUGAUCCAGCCAUGCCGCGUGCAGGAAGACGCAUCUAUGGUGUGUAAACUGCUUUUGUACGGGAAGAAACACUCCCUCGUGAGGGAGCUUGACGGUACCGUAAGAAUAAGGAUCGGCUAACUCCGUGCCAGCAGCCGCGGUAAUACGGAGGAUCCAAGCGUUAUCCGGAAUCAUUGGGUUUAAAGGGUCCGUAGGCGGUUUGGUAAGUCAGUGGUGAAAGCCCAUCGCUUAACGAUGGAACGGCCAUUGAUACUGCCAGACUUGAAUUACUGGGAAGUAACUAGAAUAUGUAGUGUAGCGGUGAAAUGCUUAGAUAUUACAUGGAAUACCAAUUGCGAAGGCAGGUUACUACCGGUGGA
rnacentral:rRNA from 1 species